rnacentral:rRNA from 1 species
UACGUAGGGGGCAAGCGUUGUCCGGAAUCAUUGGGCGUAAAGCGCGUGUAGGCGGUUCGAUAAGUCUGCUGUGAAAGUCCAGGGCUCAACCCUGGGAUGCCGGUGGAUACUGUCGGGCUAGAGUACGGAAGAGGCGAGUGGAAUUCCCGGUGUAGCGGUGAAAUGCGCAGAUAUCGGGAGGAACACCAAUUGCGAAGGCAGCUCGCUGGGACGUCACUGACGCUGAGACGCGAAAGCGUGGGGAGCGAACAGG